CAAGAGAGUGGGACCUGAUGACACCACCAUCUCCACCAGCUGCGGCUAAAUCCCAAUCACCACCUGGGAUGAAAUGGGACCAAACUUUAACAACAGCAAUAACAAGAGCUCCAGCCCAUCUCAACAACCUUUUGCUCUUUCCCCCAAGAAGUCCACUGAUUAUCACUUUUAAUACCAUUUAAGAGACUCUCAAUCAGGGGGGUUCCUUCUAAAUUGAAAGUGAACAAGGCAGAGAAAAAGAAACAGUGAGCCCACCUCACAAACGAACGAUCCAACAGUUUGUUUUCCAAAGAGACACAGGACAUGCAAAUGUGUUUACUGGGAAAUGGUACCUUCCCAUCUUUCAGCUUCCAAGUGUAAAGUACCUUUUUUCUUAGAGAUCUAGUGAUCAGGCUUUUAUCAUUGGGAAAGCUUCAAAUUACAUUACAACUAUUUUGUGAAUAACACC